rnacentral:rRNA from 1 species
AAGUGGCGAACGGGUGAGUAAUACAUAAGCAACCUACCCACCGAAGACUGGGAUAAUCUCUGGAAACGGGGACUAAUACCGGAUAGGUAAUCGGAAGGCAUCUUCUGAUUAUUAAAGGUUAAAAAACACUGGUGGAUGGGCUUAUGGCGCAUUAGUUAGUUGGUGAGGUAACGGCCCACCAAGACGAUGAUGCGUAGCCGGCCUGAGAGGGUGAACGGCCACAUUGGGACUGAGACACGGCCCAG